GAUGAACGCUAGCGGCAGGCCUAAUACAUGAAAGUCGAACGGUGUAGCAAUACACAGUGGCGCACGGGUGCGUAGCACGUAUGCAACCUACCUUACAUUGGGGGAUAGCCUUUCGAAAGGGAGAUUAAUACCGCAUAAGACAGUAACUAGGCAUCUAGUAGCUGUUAAAGAUUUAUCGAUGUAAGCUGGGCAUGCGUCCAAUUAGUUAGUUGGCGAGGUAAUGGCUCACCAAGACGAUGAUUGGUAGGGGAACUGAGAGGUCAAUCCCCCACACUGGCACUGAGAUACGGGCCAGACUCCUACGGGAGGCAGCAGUAGGGAAUAUUGGGCAAUGGGCGCAAGCCUGACCCAGCCAUGCCGCGUGCAGGAAGAAGGCGUUAUGCGUUGUAAACUGCUUUUAUACAGGAAGAAACGACCCUUGCGAGGGGCAUUGACGGUACUGUAUGAAUAAGCACCGGCUAACUCCGUGCCAGCAGCCGCCGUAACAC
rnacentral:rRNA from 1 species